AAGCCCAAGGCACCAACGUGCGCGUUCACGCCAAGAUUUUUUGUUGCAUUGUACACGUACUCGCCAUAUAAGGAAGGUCACAACAGUCUCUCCCCCUCCACCCCCCUUCUCCGCUUUUGAUACAAGUGCAUUCCUUCCUGAUCAUUAAUCAUGGAUGCUACCUGACAGCUGUAAGGGUGAAGUGGGCGACAGUACAUGCCCCAAAUCUUACUUAAGUAGUGCUCUUAUUAGUGACUAGCAACAACCAUUAUUUGAAAGAAUUAGAGGAGACUGUGUCUAGGGCGGCAACAGGGAGAGCAAAAUGAAAGGACCAACAUGGCAAAUUGCAUGAGACCCAGUGGGAGGGGCGAGCCACCUUUUAUCUCCCCACCUCUUCAUAUCAUAAUCGGUCGAUCGAGGAACACCCCAUGUGCUUCUCUUCCCUCAAUCGGUCAUUUGGGCAGUUCCGGCGCUCUUCCUCUCCCAGUAGCUCCACUCCCAAGUUGAGCCCAUAAGUCUUGUCGACCGACAACUUUCUGACACAACCGGCUGCAGGUCCAUAAUCUCUCAUCAGAUUUCUACACACCUAGUUGCGGUUCUCGUUAACCACAAGCCAGGCAAAGGGCGCGUGCGAGACACUCAGGUGGCGGCGGGAAGGUGCACCGAAGCUUCCUGCGCCCGAACAAAUCUAUCUUCCCGGCCAGGCCAACCAACUUUGUCGCGCAGGAUCUAGACACCAAGGGAAUCAUCGGGAGAUCUAGUUGUUAGAAAGAUCUAUAUUCUCUUUUCUCCAUAAAUAAAGGUGGCCCCUCGAUCUGCUCCAUCAACAUGUGGCAUCGGUAACUUGGACACCUAGGGCAAGCUUCAUUAGUGGCCAUGGCAAAAAAAAGGUCUUCCUUCUUGUGAUAAACCAAUGCGGCCAUAACAUGUUUGUGGGUCUUGUCAAUUAGGGUGGCAACCUCGAUUGCCUUUUCUUAUUUGUCUUUACUAUAUCACCUUUCCAAAAUACAUUGUGAUUUGUGGACCUUGCCAAUUUAUAGUUUCUCCA